rnacentral:tRNA from 1 species
GGUGGCUCAAUGGUAGAGCACAUGCUUUGCAUGCCUGAGGCCCUGGGUUCGAUUCCUCAGCACCA